GAACCGAGCGAACGUUGUCCGGAAUCACUGGGCUUAAAGAGCGCGUAGGCGGCUUUGCCAGUCGGAGGUGAAAUACCUCGGCUCAACCGAGGAACGGCCUCCGAUACUGCAUCGCUCGAGUGAGGUAGAGGCACGUGGAACUUCCGGUGGAGCGGUGAAAUGCGUAGAUAUCGGAAGGAACUCCGGUGGCGAAAGCGGUGUGCUGGGCCUCUUCUGACGCUGAGGCGCGAAAGCUAGGGUAGCGAACGGGGGAUUAGAUACCCCGGUAGUCCUAGCCGUAAACGAUGGGCACUGGGUAGUGGGUCUUCCCGAUGGAUGCACUGCCGAAGCAAAAGUGUUAAGUGCCCCGCCUGGGGAGUAUGUCGCAAGGCUG
rnacentral:rRNA from 1 species